rnacentral:lncRNA from 1 species
CCUCUUUCUUAAAGUCAAGUUUCAUUUUUAGGAGAUAUUAAAGUGCUUUAGAAAGAUUUCAGGGUGGAGAAAAGCGCCAUAAAUCAUACGAGUGAAGCAAGACCAUCCCAAACAAAGCGAACCCCUUCCAGUCGGGAAGAUGCAGAUAAAAGGCCAAUAGCCUGAUGUCCGCUUCUAUGGCAUAAGCUUUAAAGAAGAGAGCUAUCAACGCUAAUAUA